rnacentral:rRNA from 1 species
UGGGGAAUAUUGCACAAUGGGGGAAACCCUGAUGCAGCGACGCCGCGUGAACGAAGAAGGUAUUCGUAUCGUAAAGUUCUGUCCUAUGGGAAGAUAAUGACAGUACCAUAGAAGAAAGCUCCGGCUAAAUACGUGCCAGCAGCCGCGGUAAUACGUAUGGAGCGAGCGUUGUCCGGAAUUAUUGGGCGUAAAGGGUACGCAGGCGGUUUAAUAAGUCGAAUGUUAAAGAUCGGGGCUCAACCCCGCAAAGCAUUGGAAACUGAUAAACUUGAGUAGUGGAGAGGAAAGUGGAAUUCCUAGUGUAGUGGUGAAAUACGUAGAUAUUAGGAGGAAUACCAGUAGCGAAGGCGACUUUCUGGACACAAACUGACGCUGAGGUACGAAAGCGUGGAGAGCAAACAGG